AGACCCGAAACCCGGUGAUCUAGCCAUGGGCAGGUUGAAGGUUGGGUAACACUAACUGGAGGACCGAACCGACUAAUGUUGAAAAAUUAGCGGAUGACCUGUGGCUGGGGGUGAAAGGCCAAUCAAACCGGGAGAUAGCUGGUUCUCCCCGAAAGCUAUUUAGGUAGCGCCUCGUGAAUUCAUCUCCGGGGGUAGAGCACUGUUUCGGCUAGGGGGCCAUCCCGGCUUACCAACCCGAUGCAAACUGCGAAUACCGGAGAAUGUUAUCACGGGAGACACACGGCGGGUGCUAACGUCCGUCGUGAAGAGGGAAACAACCCAGACCGCCAGCUAAGGUCCCAAAGUCAUGGUUAAGUGGGAAACGAUGUGGGAAGGCCCAGACAGCCAGGAUGUUGGCUUAGAAGCAGCCAUCAUUUAAAGAAAGCGUAAUAGCUCACUGGUCGAGUCGGCCUGCGCGGAAGAUGUAACGGGGCUAAACCAUGCACCGAAGCUGCGGCAGCGACGCUUAUGCGUUGUUGGGUAGGGGAGCGUUCUGUAAGCCUGCGAAGGUGGCCUGUGAGGGUUGCUGGAGGUAUCAGAAGUGCGAAUGCUGACAUAAGUAACGAUAAAGCGGGUGAAAAGCCCGCUCGCCGGAAGACCAAGGGUUCCUGUCCAACGUUAAUCGGGGCAGGGUGAGUCGACCCCUAAGGCGAGGCCGAAAGGCGUAGUCGAUGGGAAACGGGUUAAUAUUCCCGUACUUGGUGUUACUGCGAAGGGGGGACGGAGAAGGCUAUGUUGGCCGGGCGACGGUUGUCCCGGUUUAAGCGUGUAGGUGUGUGUUCCAGGUAAAUCCGGUUCACUUUAACACUGAGGCGUGAUGACGAGGCACUACGGUGCUGAAGUAACAAAUGCCCUGCUUCCAGGAAAAGCCUCUAAGCAUCAGGUAACAUCAAAUCGUACCCCAAACCGACACAGGUGGUCAGGUAGAGAAUACCAAGGCGCUUGAGAGAACUCGGGUGAAGGAACUAGGCAAAAUGGUGCCGUAACUUCGGGAGAAGGCACGCUGACACGUAGGUGAAGUGAUUUACUCACGGAGCUGAAGUCAGUCGAAGAUACCAGCUGGCUGCAACUGUUUAUUAAAAACACAGCACUGUGCAAACACGAAAGUGGACGUAUACGGUGUGACGCCUGCCCGGUGCCGGAAGGUUAAUUGAUGGGGUCAGCGCAAGCGAAGCUCCUGAUCGAAGCCCCGGUAAACGGCGGCCGUAACUAUAACGGUCCUAAGGUAGCGAAAUUCCUUGUCGGGUAAGUUCCGACCUGCACGAAUGGCGUAAUGAUGGCCAGGCUGUCUCCACCCGAGACUCAGUGAAAUUGAACUCGCUGUGAAGAUGCAGUGUACCCGCGGCAAGACGGAAAGACCCCGUGAACCUUUACUAUAGCUUGACACUGAACAUUGAGCCUUGAUGUGUAGGAUAGGUGGGAGGCUUUGAAGUGUGGACGCCAGUCUGCAUGGAGCCGACCUUGAAAUACCACCCUUUAAUGUUUGAUGUUCUAACGUGGACCCGUUA
rnacentral:rRNA from 1 species